GAGACGCUGGCGGCGUGCCUAACACAUGCAAGUCGAGCGGGGUUGAAGCGAGAGGUAACUCGAGCUUCUACCUAGCGGCGGACGGGUGAGUAACGCGUGGGCAACCUGCCUCAAGGUUUGGGAUAACAGCCCGAAAGGGCUGCUAAUACCGGAUAUGCCUAUGGCCUCGCAUGGGGCUAUGAGCAAAGGGGAAACCCGCCUUGAGAUGGGCCCGCGUCCCAUCAGCUAGUUGGUGAGGUAACAGCUCACCAAGGCGACGACGGGUAGCCGGCCUGAGAGGGUGACCGGCCACACUGGGACUGAGACACGGCCCAGACUCCUACGGGGGGCAGCAGUGGGGGAUCUUGCACAAUGGGCGAAAGCCUGAUGCAGCGACGCCGCGUGAGCGAAGAAGGCCUUCGGGUUGUAAAGCUCUGUCUGGAGGGACGAACAAAAUGACGGUACCUCCGGAGGAAGCCACGGCUAACUACGUG
rnacentral:rRNA from 1 species